UCUCCGUUCUGGUUUCAAUUUACUUUCUCUUUUUUGUGUUGAAUUUUUCGGGCUUCUAUGCUUGAUUACCUUUUUGUGUUUGCUUCUUUUUUUAUUUCCCUGCUUGUUAUUCCUUUCUUUAGAACUUGUCUUCCUUUUAUGCCUUUCUGGAAUUCUUAUGCAAAGGUUAAAGCAAUGGUUGUUCAUUGCUCUCUUUUGGUUCUCACUUUCAAAGAAUUCGAUGGCAGACCGGGCAGGUGUACCUGGGGAUGGAAGAUGUUUAUUCAGAUCUGUAGCUCAUGGUGCUUGCUUGAGAUUGGGAAAGCCAUCCCCAAGUGAGAAUCUUCAGAAGGAGCUGGCAGAUGAGCUAAGGGCUAAAGUUGCUGAUGAGCUAGUUAAGAGACGCAAAGACACAGAAUGGUUUCUUGAAGGUGAUUUUGAUACAUAUGUGCAACAGAUUAGAAAGCCUCAUGUGUGGGGAGGAGAGCCUGAGCUGCUCAUGGCUUCACAUGUUCUUCAGAUGCCAAUCACUGUUUUUAUGCGUGAUCAUAAAUCUGGCAGUCUACUAACUAUAGCAGAGUAUGGUCAAGAUUAUGGAAGGGAAGAUCCGAUUCGUGUUCUAUAUCAUGGUUUUGGACACUACGAUGCUUUAGAUUUUCAUCCUAGUGGAGCAAAGUCAAAGUUGUAAGCCUCAUUACAUGCUUUGACAGUUUGUCCAUCUAAUGAUUACUCAAUACUUGCACCUCAUUACUGGGUUUUUGGGGCUCAGGUUCCAGAAAUGAUUGGUUUAAGAAUGGGACCGAAUAUGAAUUACUGUAGAUUCUUCCAGAGAAUUUUCUGGAUUCAAUAAAUGUCCAUCUCAGAGAUAUUCUACUUU